rnacentral:lncRNA from 1 species
ACGAUUUAGUGAAAGAUCUAAGAAAUGUUAUGUGGUGCCAAAUGUCUUCUUGCUUCUUACUUUCAAUCUUUAGUAAGUAUUAAGCGAUGGAACCAUUUUAGAGUCCAUCGCAAAAAUCCACAUCCCUAAUGGGAUCGGCCGGAUAAGUGAAGAAUGAGGAUCGAUGGAUCUGGUCCAGAUCUCUUCUUAAAAAUUUGGAAUAUUGGACUAGAAUCGAUUCGCAUCUAUCGGAUGGAAAGUAAAUAUCAUACUAUCAGUCAGUUGACUUACUACUACAAAAUAUUAUAUAUUUGGCAUUAUGUGUAUGGAAAGAUUUGCAAUUAUAGUGUUAAAAGCCAGCGAAAAUAUUCAGCUCUCUUUUUUUCCCAGCAUAAAACAUAUAAGUAAAUCUAAUGGAUUGUGAAAGAGGCUUGGG